GUAGCUAAUAUUGCAACCUAAACU
rnacentral:snRNA from 1 species